rnacentral:rRNA from 1 species
AUUGAACGCUGGCGGCAGGCCUAACACAUGCAAGUCGAACGAGUGGCGGACGGGUGAGUAAUGUCUGGGAAACUGCCCGAUGGAGGGGGAUAACUACUGGAAACGGUAGCUAAUACCGCAUACCAUCGGAUGUGCCCAGAUGGGAUUAGCUAGUAGGUGGGGUAACGGCUCACCUAGGCGACGAUCCCUAGCUGGUCUGAGAGGAUGACCAGCCCCACUGGAAUUGAUACACGGUCCAUACUCCUACGGUGGGAAGCAGUGGGGAAUAUUGCACAAUGGGCGCAGUCCUGAUGCAGCCAUGCCGCGUGUAUGAAGAGGGCCUUCGGGUUGUAAAGUACUUUCAGCGAGGAGGCGUUACUCGCAGAAGAAGCACCGGCUAACUCCGUGCCAGCAGCCGCGGUAAUUC